rnacentral:rRNA from 1 species
CCUACGGGAGGCAGCAGUGGGGAAUAUUGCACAAUGGGGGAAACCCUGAUGCAGCGACGCCGCGUGAGUGAAGAAGUAUUUCGGUAUGUAGAGCUCUAUCAGCAGGGAAGAAAAUGACGGUACCUGAUUAAGAAGCCCCGGCUAACUACGUGCCAGCAGCCGCGGGAAUACGUAGGGGGCAAGCGUUAUCCGGAUUUACUGGGUGUAAAGGGAGCGGAGACGGCAGCACAAGUCUGGAGUGAAAUGCCGGGGCUUAACCCCGGAACUGCUUUGGAAACUGUGCAGCUAGAGUGCAGGAGAGGUAAGUGGAAUUCCUAGUGUAGCGGUGAAAUGCGUAGAUAUUAGGAGGAACACCAGUGGCGAAGGCGGCUUACUGGACUGUAACUGACGUUGAGGCUCGAAAGCGUGGGGAGCAAACAGGAUUAGAUACCCCAGUAGUC